rnacentral:rRNA from 1 species
CCUACGGGGGGCAGCAGUCGAGAAUCAUUCACAAUGGGGGAAACCCUGAUGGUGCGACGCCGCGUGGGGGAAUGAAGGUCUUCGGAUUGUAAACCCCUGUCAUGUGGGAGCAAAUUAAAAAGAUAGUACCACAAGAGGAAGAGACGGCUAACUCUGUGCCAGCAGCCGCGGUAAUACAGGGGUCUCAAGCGUUGUUCGGAAUCACUGGGCGUAAAGCGUGCGUAGGCUGUUUCGUAAAUCGUGGGUGAAAGGCGCGGGCUCAACCCGCGGACGGCACAUGAUACUGCGAGACUAGAGUAAGGGAGGGGGAACCGGAAUUCUCGGUGUAGCAGUGAAAUGCGUAGAUAUCGAGAGGAACACUCGUGGCGAAGGCGGGUUCCUGGACAUUAACUGACGCUGAGGCACGAAGGCCAGGGGAGCGAAAGGGAUUAGAUACCCCAGUAGUC